rnacentral:rRNA from 1 species
CAGAGGGUGCAAGCGUUAAUCGGAAUUACUGGGCGUAAAGCGCGCGUAGGCGGUUGUAUAAGUUGGAUGUGAAAUCCUCGGGCUUAACCUGGGCACUGCAUUCAAAACUGUACGGCUAGAGUGUAGGAGAGGAAGGUAGAAUUCCAGGUGUAGCGGUGAAAUGCGUAGAGAUCUGGAGGAAUACCGAUGGCGAAGGCAGCCUUCUGGCCUAACACUGACGCUGAGGUGCGAAAGCAUGGGAGCAAACAGGAUU